rnacentral:lncRNA from 1 species
CGCGGAAAAGGGCGGACGCGUGGCCCACGCACUGGAACGGCUCCACGAGUCUGUCACCCAGGUUGGAGUGCGGUGGUGUGAUCUUGGCUCCCUGCAACCUCCACCUCCCAGGUUCAAGCGAUUCUCCUGCCUCAGCCUCCCAAGUAGCUGCGAUUACAGGCACCCACCACCAUGAAGAAUGGCAUUUUUAAAAGAUGGCUUUCUUAAAAAAGGAUACUCAGUUGCUCUUCUACUCAUACCAAGUCCUGCAGACACAUUCUGGGACUGCACCUUAUGAGUGCUGCUCACUCUGUUUCCUGCAGAAGACAUACAGAGCCGUUCGCAUAGAGUAGGGCCAUGAUUUUGAUUCAGCAAUUCUUCAAACCACUGAUGCUGGUUGACCAUUUGACUUUGUUUUUGAAGUAUUUUUUACAUACAGUGUACAGAACAUUUCCGCUGGAUAUUUGGAUACUGAACAGGAGUAACAAGAGGAACAGCUCCUACCUCCCCCCUGCCCCUUCCCUCACAAGCCUGUGAGUCAGGGCAGGGGCAGCCACUGAAAGUAGCAGAGGCCUUCAUAAAGGAGAACACUUCUCCAUGUUGCCAUCAUGUGAAGAAGGACAUGUUUGCUUCUGCUUCUGCCACGAGUGUUGAAGGCAAUGGUGAUGAAAGUAAAUAUUUAAAAACACUACCAUAGCUGUCCCAAAUUUCAGAAAAACAAGGUACCACUGGAACCAUUUAAUUUUGUUGGAACACAGAAUGACCAUCUUGUGAUCAGUUUUCUGCAUCUUUAAAAUACCUGGAAGGUCAUCUUUAAAUAGUACAAUCUGAUAAAAGUUUAAUACUUAGUGUAGACUUAUAUGAAUACUUCUACAUUCAUACAUUUUUGUAUACUUAUACAUUUUCAUACUCAAUUAAUGCUUAAUUCAAAAAAUAUCUGAGUACCUGCAGUGUUCCCCAUGCUACAUACUGGGCUUAAACAGCCAAAAAGACACAGUCUUUGACCUCAAAAUACUUUGAUUCUUGUAAGAAAAACUGACAAAGACAAAGAGAAGGCAAUGUGAAAACUUCUACAGUUGGGAUAACCUUGGAGGUUACAGGAUGUGGACUCACUGAAAGCUUUCUGCUGGACUUGAACUUGAAGCUGAAGUCUGAAGGACAGAUGGGUGUUGCUUAGCGAAGGGAAAGUAGGAAGCAAAGACCCCUGGACAGAGUGUAGCAGGCACAGAGGGAGCAUGACACCUUCGGGAGAGAGCCGCAAGCACCUGGGCCCAGAUCCCAGCUUUAGCUUCAUUAGCCCUGUGAACUCUGUAUGUCAGCCUUGACAUAGAAAAAAAGAGGAUACUAAACCUCCAUCUUAAAAGAGACUUGGAAGAAGCUGGGAUUAUAGGCACACCACCACACCUGGCCCCAGAAAAGGGAAUCCUUGACCUGCAAGAAUCGAGGAAUAUUGUUUCUGACAUGCUCAGUGGACCUACUGCUGGUGUUCUUAACCAUUUCCUUCCUAAGUGGAACUUCUUUUGAGCCUCAGAUGAAAACAACCAGUUGAGCUCCAAGUUUUCUUUCUGUGGGAGAACUUUCCUUAAAAGACAAUUAGAAAGCAAGGAAUGCGAAGAAAGAAAAUGGGAAGUUUCCUGCCUCCAAAUUAUGCUGUUGGUUCUGGCCUAAAGGAAUGUUUUCAAGGGAAGCCUGUCUGCCUUUCAUUGCCAUUUCACCUUGAUUUAAUCAUUCAGCAAAGCAUUUAUUAAUCAUCUUCUGUGUGAAAAGUACUUACCUUAGAACCACUGCAUCCUGGUACACCGACAAGUCCGUAAGGCCCGGUAUUGCCUGGGGUGCCCUGGAAGAAGAACAAGUCUCAAUGAGGAGGGUCAUCCCAAGAAACAGCACUGAACCCAAGGGAAAAGAUGCACUGAUUUAAAUAGCUCUUGAAAUAUAAAUGAUUGUUUAAAUGGUUAAGU